rnacentral:lncRNA from 1 species
AUUUUUGUGGUUACUGUGAAACAUUAAUAAAACAUUUAUAUUAUCGAUUUUUGUGAGCAUAUAUUUAUGUAAAUUUGGCAGUCAGAUGUUUUAAAAGCUCAAAACAAGAUAUAAUCCAUAUACCAUAACAUCAUUGUCAUAGGUUAGGGUAGGGGAAGUAGAGUGCUCACCAACAUGUUUUAACCCAGCCACCUUCUGUAUGUGCCUGUCUCAAGUCAGUGGUUGUUUACGGUUGGCGUCUACCAUUUUUUGUUUUUUAAUUGUUGUGUACAUAAAUCAAGCAG